AAUGGCAGGGCACACUCUGUCUGCAACAUGGCACUCCACUGAUCACCAGGGUUGAUUUGACUGAUCUGGCUGGCGAGGUGAAUGUCCCCUUCCUCCUUCAUUGUUCUGUGUAUCCCUCCCAAAGCUGUACACUCUGUCUGAGAGGGCAAUCACCUGCCAUAGAGGAGGACUAUCAAGAGUACAUGAGUAUCUGUGCUUCCCUGCCAGAACCUCCAAACAAACUCUAGAGUUUUGCCUAUUUAUUCUUCCAGAAGAUUGUUUCCAUUUUAACAUUUAGGUCAUCUGU
rnacentral:snRNA from 1 species